rnacentral:rRNA from 1 species
UACGUAGGGUCCGAGCGUUGUCCGGAAUUAUUGGGCGUAAAGGGCUCGUAGGCGGUUGGUCACGUCGGGAGUGAAAACUCAGGGCUCAACCCUGAGCGUGCUUCCGAUACGGGCCGACUAGAGGUAUGCAGGGGAGAACGGAAUUCCUGGUGUAGCGGUGGAAUGCGCAGAUAUCAGGAGGAACACCGGUGGCGAAGGCGGUUCUCUGGGCCUGUACUGACGCUGAGGAACGAAAGCGUGGGGAGCGAACAGG